UACAUAGGGGGCAAGCGUUGUCCGGAUUUAUUGGGCGUAAAGAGCGUGUAGGCGGCCAAGCAGGUCAGCUGUGAAAACUCGAGGCUCAACCUCGAGACGUCGGUUGAAACCGCUUGGCUAGAGUCCGGAAGAGGAGAGUGGAAUUCCCGGUGUAGCGGUGAAAUGCGCAGAUAUCGGGAAGAACACCCGUGGCGAAGGCGGCUCUCUGGGACGGUACUGACGCUGAGACGCGAAAGCGUGGGGAGCAAACAGG
rnacentral:rRNA from 1 species